AUUGAACGCUGGCGGCAGGCCUAACACAUGCAAGUCGAGCGGAGCGGCGGACGGGAGAGUAAUGCACAGGAAUCUGCCUGGUAGUGGGGGGUAACGUCAGGAAACGGGCGCUAAUACCGCAUACUAUCAGAUGAGCCUAGGUCGGAUUAGCCAUUUGGUGGGGUAAAGGCCUACCAAGGCGACGAUCCGUAACUGGUCUGAGAGGAUGAUCAGUCACACUGGAACGGAAACACGGUCCAAACUCCUACGGAAGGCAGCAGUGGGGAAUUUUGGACAAUGGGCGAAAUCCUGAUCCAGCCAGUCCGCGUGUGUGAAGAGGGUCUUCGGAUUGUAAAGCACUUUAAGUUGGGAGACGUUACCUACAGAAUAAGCACCGGCUAACUUCGUGCCAGCAGCCGCGGUAAUUC
rnacentral:rRNA from 1 species